rnacentral:rRNA from 1 species
AGUGAUUGUAGUCAUAUGGUUGUCUCAAAGAUUAAGCCAUGCAUGUCUAAGUAUAAGCAAUUUAUACAGUGAAACUGCGAAUGGCUCAUUAAAUCAGUUAUAGUUUAUUUGAUAGUACCUUACUACUUGGAUAACCGUGGUAAUUCUAGAGCUAAUACAUGCUAAAAACCCCGACUGCUUGGGAGGGGUGUAUUUAUUAGAUAAAAAAUCAAUGCCCUCGGGCUCUUUGAUGAUUCAUAAUAACUUGUCGAAUCGCAUGGCUUUACGCCGGCGAUGGUUCAUUCAAAUUUCUGCCCUAUCAACUGUCGAUGGUAGGAUAGUGGCCUACCAUGGUGGCAACGGGUAACGGGGAAUAAGGGUUCGAUUCCGGAGAGGGAGCCUGAGAAACGGCUACCACAUCCAAGGAAGGCAGCAGGCGCGCAAAUUACCCAAUCCUAAUUCAGGGAGGUAGUGACAAUAAAUAACGAUACAGGGCCCUUCUGGGUCUUGUAAUUGGAAUGAGUACAAUGUAAAUACCUUAACGAGGAACAAUUGGAGGGCAAGUCUGGUGCCAGCAGCCGCGGUAAUUCCAGCUCCAAUAGCGUAUAUUAAAGUUGUUGCAGUUAAAAAGCUCGUAGUUGAACUUUGGGCCUGGCAGGCCGGUCCGCUUUUUGGCGAGUACUGACCCUGCCGGGCCUUUCCUUCUGGCUACCCUCCCCUCUGGAGAGGCGAACCAGGACUUUUACUUUGAAAAAAUUAGAGUGUUCAAAGCAGGCCUUUGCUCGAAUAUAUUAGCAUGGAAUAAUAGAAUAGGACGUUUGGUUCUAUUUUGUUGGUUUCUAGGACCAUCGUAAUGAUUAAUAGGGACGGUCGGGGGCAUCAGUAUUCAGUUGUCAGAGGUGAAUUCUUGGAUUUACUGAAGACUAACUACUGCGAAAGC